rnacentral:rRNA from 1 species
UUGGGAGCUCUCCCAUAUGGUCGACCUGCAGGCGGCCGCGAAUUCACUAGUGAUUCGUAUUACCGCGGCUGCUGGCACGUAGUUGGCCGGGGCUUCUUCUGCAGGUACCGUCACUAUCGUCCCUGCUGAAAGCGGUUUACGACCCGAAGGCCUUCAUCCCGCACGCGGCAUCGCUGCGUCAGGCUUUCGCCCAUUGCGCAAGAUUCCUAACUGCUGCCUCCCGUAGGAGUCUGGGCCGUGUCUCAGUCCCAGUGUGGCUGGACAUCCUCUCAGACCAGCUACCCGUCGUUGCCUUGGUAGGCCAUUACCCCACCAACAAGCUGAUAGGCCGCGAGCCCAUCCCUGGCCGAAAAACUUUCCAUCAACCCCCAUGCGGAAGAAAAUGGAUAUUCGGUAUUAGCCCCCGUUUCCGAGGGUUAUCCCAAAGCCAAGGGCAGGUUGCUCACGUGUUACUCACCCGUUCGCCGCUCGAGUACCCCGAAGGGCCUUUCCGCUCGACUUGCAUGUGUUAAGCACGCCGCCAGCGUUCGUCCUGAGCCAUGAUCAAACUCUAAUCGAAUUCCCGCGGCCGC